UCAAAUGAGGGGAGGUCUUUGAGACCUCCCUGUACAAAAUUUUCCACCAGCUGCAAUAAACCAGCUCCCCAGAACUCUUAAUAGAAAAACAAAAUAUGUGUUUCUACGAUGAUUUCGCUCACAGCACCGUUUGCAGCAACAGGACCUUGAUAACAGUGGUAGCAGAUAACAGGAGGUUUGUUCUGGUCACUGGGUGUUUGCUUCUGGCUGUGAGAUUGUCCCGUUCAUCCAUUCCCAAUAGCCUUUAUUAUGGCUGAAUUGAUCCAUGCGGUGUCAUUUGCACAAAAGCUGUUACAGGGGAAAAGUGCCAAGGGGUCUCACUCACUGGGUGACCUUUUGGGUGCCAAGCAUGACGUCAUUUCAGAUGCCUGAAGGCUCCUGGCCUUUUUAAUUUUAUUUUUUUUUAUUUCAGUGGUGUGUGUGGAGAAAGAAAUACCUGAACAAAACAUGUUUCCAGCUGACAUCUUGCCUGGGCAUUUUGCAUCCUAGCAGAGCAAAACAGGUCUGGAUGGAGCCUGGAAGCAGCCGUGGCCGAUGGAGGGAUCCAGCCUGCGGUCAUCUCCCAGAGCCGUGUGAGGAGCCGUGAAUGGUGGCAGCCAGCAUGACUCCAGUCUCAGAAUUAACCACAGCUGCUGCAGUCUUCACUGAAAGCACAAAAAAAUCCAUCCAGCCAUUGCAAAUGUUUCUUCUUCACUUCUUCCUCGCAAAUCACCCUCUGGCCGUUGGACACAGCAAGUCUUGCAGGGUUUGAGCGUGCAUGUGGCUGAGUCUUGUUAUGCUCAGCUGGUGUCCUGGCCACCGGGAACCUGAAGGCUUUGAGAGGUAACUGGGAUGGGACGGAGCGGGUCGAAAUGCCUUUUGGCUGUUCCUAUAGUUAAAUUAGC